rnacentral:rRNA from 1 species
UACGGAGGGUGCGAGCGUUGUCCGGAAUCAUUGGGCGUAAAGCGCGUGUAGGCGGCUCGGUAAGUCCGCUCUGAAAGCCCGGGGCUCAACCCUGGGAGGCGGGUGGAUACUGCUGAGCUCGAGUCCGGAAGAGGCGAGUGGAAUUCCUGGUGUAGCGGUGAAAUGCGCAGAUAUCAGGAAGAACACCAAUGGCGAAAGCAGCUCUCUGGGACGGUACUGACGCUGAGUGAGCGAAAGCCAGGGGAGCAAACGGG